ACAUCCAGCGAACUUGGCAGAGAUGCCUUGGUGCCUUCGGGAACGCUGAGACAGGUGCUGCAUGGCUGUCGUCAGCUCGUGUUGUGAAAUGUUGGGUUAAGUCCCGCAACGAGCGCAACCCUUAUCCUUUGUUGCCAGCGAUUCGGUCGGGAACUCAAAGGAGACUGCCGGUGAUAAACCGGAGGAAGGUGGGGAUGACGUCAAGUCAUCAUGGCCCUUACGAGUAGGGCUACACACGUGCUACAAUGGCGCAUACAAAGAGAAGCGACCUCGCGAGAGCAAGCGGACCUCAUAAAGUGCGUCGUAGUCCGGAUCGGAGUCUGCAACUCGACUCCGUGAAGUCGGAAUCGCUAGUAAUCGUGGAUCAGAAUGCCACGGUGAAUACGUUCCCGGGCCUUGUACACACCGCCCGUCACACCAUGGGAGUGGGUUGCAAAAGAAGUAGGUAGCUUAACCCUCGGGAGGGCGCUUACCACUUUGUGAUUCAUGACUGGGGUGAAGUCGUAACAAGGUAAGCGUAGAUGA
rnacentral:rRNA from 1 species